GGACUCUUGCUCGAAGGCCGUGAAUAUGGACAAAUCCUAAGAUAGACAGGUAAGCUCUGCUAGCUCAAGUCCCAAGAACCAGAGGUCAGACAAGAGACAGCUGCUGAAUCCAGAACAAGCCAACAACUUUUGCAAGGCGAGCAGGAAAUAAGUAGGUGAUGGAAGGCAGAAAGAUGAAGGCUGAGGGGGUGAAGAGCCACCACAGGUUGCACCCCCGCCAGUACCACUCAGAAGAUUCCAUCAUGGGGAUGAUAAAAACCAAAAAAAACCCAAACCUGACUCAUAGGACCCUAUAGGACAGAGUAGAACUUCCCCAUGGAGUUUCCAAGGAGUGCCUGGUGGAUUCGAACAGCUGACCUCUUGGUUAGCAGCUGUAGCACUUAACCACUAUGCCACCAGGGUUUCCAUGGGGGUGAUAACAUAUCACAUUUCAACAGAGAAGUGAUCACAACAUUAUACGACUGCCAAAACACUGAGAAUCAUGGCCAGCCAAGUUGACACACAAUCUUAACCAUCACCCUGGGGGAGGAGGGUGUUGGGUUUGAAGAAAGCUUUAAAAAGGUAUGAAUGUUUAUGUUGGAAUGUGGAAGAUAGGGAAAAGGUUUUUUCCAGACAGAGAAGUAAAUUCUAGGUGGAAGAGAUCAUCCAGAGACAUGUAGGAAUGUUCAUGGGUGGCAUGUCUGGGGAACACUUAAAUAUUCUAUUAGAGAGAGACAUGGGGAAGUGAUGAGAGAGCCCCUGAGCAUGAGGCUGGAAAAAGACGUUUGGACCAGAUUUUGAAGAAUUGGAGAAGCUUUGAAGGUUUUUAACAGGUGAGUGGUAACCAGCUGAAGCUUGGAAAAGAAAAUUAGACAGUCUAUUAAGCAGGGAGGGAGGAAGGAAAUAUAUUUAGUAAGUACCAGGUGCUAGGAUUAUGGUGGGAGGUGGAGAGUGAAGUCAAGAAUGACUCUUCACUUAAGUAGAUGGUGGUGAGGAUACUACGCACAAUACUGUUGAGAGUGAGCAAGUUUUGAGGGAAGAUGAUGCAUUCAACUUGAACAUGUUUAUAGUAGAAAUGUCAACUCUUUCCUCCUCAAAUAAUUUCCUUCCUGUAUUAGUUAUUGUCUUAGUCAUCUAGUGCUGCUCUAACAGAAAAACCACAAGUAGAUGGCUUUAACGAAGGGAAGUUUAUUCUCUCACAGUCCAGUAGGCUAGAAGUCUGAAUUCAGGCUCCAGGGGAAGGCUUUCUCUCUUUGUAGGCUCGGAGGAGAGACUGAAAACCAGCAGAGAAUACGGUAUGGAGAAUGGGGUCCUUGUGGUCAAAUGUUGCAGAUUGGUGAAGGAAAAGCAAGACUGGCAAAAUUUUAAUGAAGAGCUAUUGUGGAGGAAAAAGAGCCUUAAGAUGAAAGAUGCCUGAAUGUCGAAUGCUGAUUCAAAAACUGGAGCUACCACCUGGAGAGUUGCCUGAACCUGGGGCAGACUUCAGGUUUCACAGGUCCAGGGAAGGUGGUGGAGUUGGGAGAAGGAGUUAUAGAAGCUUCUUCUACUUCCCUUCCAUUUUUAUUUCAUCUUUUCUGACAACAUUUUGGGAUGGCGAAACCUUGGGAAGUUCAGUUUCAGAAUGGAGGUACCUUCCUUUUAGAAGUUACAUUUGAGUCUUAAAAAGUAAGAACAGCCAGGGUGGGGCAGAGGGGAAAGAAAAUUGCUGGCUGCAUAGACCUGGCUCCAGGGUAAUGGUCCUAAGUGAGGAGACAAAGGGGCCUUUUAACUGACUUCCUACACUGUCCAGCCUAGCUUGCCAGGGAUGGAAGGAAAACUGAUUUGGGGUAGGUUCCUGUUUAGUAUUAAAUAGAAUUCAAUGGACUGACCAUCCUAUCUAACAUAGCUCUUGGGGACCAGAGCAAAGUGCUGGCAGCCACAUUGGGUGCA